GCACUUAGGCAGCACAUAUACUAAAAUUGGAACGAUACAGAGAAGAUUAGCAUGGCCCCUGCACAAGGAUGACACGCAAAUUCAUAAAACAUUCCACUAUAAG